rnacentral:rRNA from 1 species
UCGGGAAUUUUGGGCAAUGGGCGAAAGCCUGAUCCAGCCAUGCCGCGUGAGUGACGAAGGUCUUCGGAUUGUAAAGCUCUUUUGGCGGGGACGAUAAUGACGGUACCCGCAGAAUAAGCCCCGGCUAACUUCGUGCCAGCAGCCGCGGUAAUACGAAGGGGGCUAGCGUUGUUCGGAAUUACUGGGCGUAAAGCGCACGUAGGCGGAUUUGUAAGUCAGGGGUGAAAUCCCGGGGCUCAACCUCGGAACUGCCCUUGAUACUGCAAAUCUCGAGUCCGAUAGAGGUGAGUGGAAUUCCUAGUGUAGAGGUGAAAUUCGUAGAUAUUAGGAAGAACACCAGUGGCGAAGGCGGCUCACUGGAUCGGUACUGACGCUGAGGUGCGAAAGCGUGGGAGCAAACAGGAUUAGAUACCCCAGUAGUCCCUGAGCGGGCUGGCAAGGCGCAU